rnacentral:rRNA from 1 species
CCUACGGGAGGCAGCAGUGGGGAAUAUUGCACAAUGGGGGAAACCCUGAUGCAGCGACGCCGCGUGAGUGAAGAAGUAUUUCGGUAUGUAAAGCUCUAUCAGCAGGGAAGAAAAUGACGGUACCUGACUAAGUAGCCCCGGCUAACUACGUGCCAGCAGCCGCGGUAAUACGUCGGGGGCAAGCGUUAUCCGGAUUUACUGGGUGUAAAGGGAGCGUAGAUGGCAGGGCAAGUCAGGUGUGAAAUCCCGGGGCUCAACCCCGGAACUGCAUUGGAAACUGUACAGCUGGAGUGCAGGAGAGGUAAGCGGAAUUCGUGGUGUAGCGGUGAAAUGCGUAGAUAUUAGGAGGAACACCAGUGGCGAAGGCGGCUUACUGAACUGUAACUGACAUUGAGGCUCGAAAGUGUGGGUAUCAAACAGGAUUAGAUACCCUAGUAGUC